rnacentral:tRNA from 2 species
GCUUCAGUAGUACAACGGUUAGUAUACACGCCUUCCAAGUGUGUGACCGGGGUUCGACUCCCCGCUGAUGCA